rnacentral:rRNA from 1 species
AUGAACGCUGGCGGCGUGCCUAAUCCAUGCAAGUCGAACGCUUCACUUCGGUGAAGAGUGGCGAACGGGUGAGUAAUACAUAAGUAACCUGGCAUCUACAGGGGGAUAACUGAUGGAAACGUCAGCUAAGACCGCAUAGGUGUAGAGAUCGCAUGAACUCUAUAUGAAAAGUGCUACGGGACUGGUAGAUGAUGGACUUAUGGCGCAUUAGCUUGUUGGUAGGGUAACGGCCUACCAAGGCGACGAUGCGUAGCCGACCUGAGAGGGUGACCGGCCACACUGGGACUGAGACACGGCCCAGACUCCUACGGGAGGCAGCAGUAGGGAAUUUUCGGCAAUGGGGGAAACCCUGACCGAGCAACGCCGCGUGAAGGAAGAAGUAAUUCGUUAUGUAAACUUCUGUCAUAGAGGAAGAACGGUGGAUAUAGGGAAUGAUAUCCAAGUGACGGUACUCUAUAAGAAAGCCACGGCUAACUACGUG